AAUUUGUCUAAUAAAGGAUUAGGUAGAGAAAUAGAACGGUAAGAGCCUUACAAAUCUCCAUUUUUAUGAAUCACUUUCUGGACACGGGUGAAAGUAGUUGGUAAAACGUCGUUGUUCUGAGAAUAUUCAAAUGUUUUUAGCAACUAAGGGGUUAAUUUUUACGAAAUGAAUAAACUGCUUACUAUCCACUUUUUUCAUAAAAUAAAUAAACAGUAGCUACCGAUUUUCAGUAAACCUGCAUACUGAAUCAUCUGCUGGAAUGCGCGUUGGUAGGAAAAUUCGACGAGGACCAUAGACUGUAAAUACGACGAGGACGCAUGGAUAGUUGAAACGCGUUGCGGUAGCAAAACGCCGGCGCUCGGAUAUAGUUUUUUGGCACAGGUUUUUGGGGAGACACGAGACACCUGCCACCGGUUUUGAGUUGUUGUUUUUUUAAUCACAGAAAACUCCAACAAAUAAAACGUAUUGUUUAAGUUUCCUAAUAUUUGCGUUUUUGUAAAGGCUCGUUUUCAUUUUAUCAGCAUUUUGGUGAUGUGUUGCUCGUUAUUUUUUAAUCAAUGGUUUACGUACUACAUUUUUCAUCCAACCGACUAGCGACAUAAGUGAAUUUGUGUAAUGGUAAUUUUUUGGCGUUUUAAAACCGGAAGUUACGUGAUCACGUGGGAAGGCAAAGCUUUAAAUAGAAGCGCACCCUCUUUCACGCCCUCUCUUUUCCUUGUUGCGGUCGACAAAACAAGACUUUGUGUUGAAGAAACGCCAAUUAUACGGCUUUUUCGAGGACCAAGGAGGUUUAACUUCUUGAAGGUGGAAGUUUUCCUGGACAUUACUCUACAAGUGUUUAUCAAAAGACAGUAGUGCCCUCCUGGGAGCAUUCAGACCACAAGGGUCUGUGAAAGUUAAUGAGAGUUCUCUGGGAUUAAUAGUGUAUUUGAAUUGAAUUGAAAGGGGGGCAUUUGCAUGCCGAAAGGUGUGUGUUGGUGAAAGAUUUUCAAUCACACUCAUAGGUGGCAUUUGUCUGUCAACUGCCAUGUAGCCACAAAGAAGAUUUCAAACAGGAUAGUGGCUCAAACAAAGAAAAUGUAACGUCAGUACCAUGUGGUCUACCUCUGGUACAGAUUUAUUCCUUCACCCACAAAUGCACAACUACCUGCUGCCUGAACACUUUUUUUUUUUUCCUAAUGAACCAGUAAAAUCCUCGUGGCUAAAGGAGCGUCUGUCCAAAAUUCGUCUAGAUAAAGCGCCAAAGGAACUGGGCUAUUUUCAGGUAAUUAAAGAGAAACACUAAGAACUGGCAUUGGUAGUUGAUUUGCUUAGAGCUUAAAUUGAUAAAGGAUUUUCAUUGUAGUUUAACUCGCUCAAAAUUAAAUGGUGAUCUUUGUAUCAACAAAGAUCUGUUUUUCUGUAUGGAACUGGGGGGGCUAAGAUGAUUUGGAGAGGGUGUUGGGCUUAAAAAAAACUAAAGCUUCUGGAUCCCCCCCCUGUUGGAUUUCACAAUGAAUUCUGAUCAAUAAAGUUUAAAAUACUA